rnacentral:rRNA from 1 species
UACAGAGACCGCAAGCGUUGUUCGGAAUCACUGGGCAUAAAGCGCACGUAGGCGGGCUCGUAAGUCGGUGGUGAAAUCCUUCGGCUCAACCGGAGAACUGCUUCCGAUACUGCGAGUCUUGAGGACGGGAGGGGAGAGUGGAACUUCCAGUGGAGCGGUGAAAUGCGUAGAUAUUGGAAGGAACACCGGUGGCGAAAGCGACUCUCUGGUCCGUCUCUGACGCUGAGGUGCGAAAGCUAGGGUAGCAAAC